rnacentral:piRNA from 3 species
UGCUGGAGGCCUGAGCAGUGUCCUGUGGA